rnacentral:lncRNA from 1 species
CAGGAACUCCAGGUCCCCCUGGCUCAACUUAUAUACCCGAUGGAAGUGAUGCCAGAGGUGAAAAAGGUGAGCGUGGGUAUCCAGGAGCUUCUGGACUGCCAGGUGACCCAGGGGACAUGGGCAUGCACGGACCCCCAGGCCCAGCAGGCUUAACAAUACCAGGUCUACCUGGUGCUCGAGGGCCCCAAGGUCCAAAGGGCUACAAGGGAGAGCCUGGAACAUAUAGCAACUUUGGAAUCAAUCCACUUCCAGGACCAAAGGGAAUGAAGGGACACCCUGGACCUAAAGGUGUCAUGGGCCAUCCUGGUCCUCCAGGUAUAGCUGAUUUCAUUGUGAUUAUUGCACAACACCAGAGUUUUCUGCAUUUCU